AGAACAACAGGGAUUGCCCUAGUAACGGCGAGUGAAGCGGCAACAGCUCAAAUUUGAAAUCUGGCUCUCGGGCCCGAGUUGUAAUUUGUAGAGGAUACUUUUGAUGCGGUGCCUUCCGAGUUCCCUGGAACGGGACGCCAUAGAGGGUGAGAGCCCCGUCUGGUUGGAUGCCAAAUCUCUGUAAAGUUCCUUCAACGAGUCGAGUAGUUUGGGAAUGCUGCUCUAAAUGGGAGGUAUAUGUCUUCUAAAGCUAAAUACCGGCCAGAGACCGAUAGCGCACAAGUAGAGUGAUCGAAAGAUGAAAAGCACUUUGAAAAGAGAGUUAAAAAGUACGUGAAAUUGUUGAAAGGGAAGCGUUUAUGACCAGACUUGGGCUUGGUUAAUCAUCUGGGGUUCUCCCCAGUGCACUUUUCCAGUCCAGGCCAGCAUCAGUUUUCCCCGGGGGAUAAAGGCGGCGGGAAUGUGGCUCUCUUCGGGGAGUGUUAUAGCCCACCGUGUAAUACCCUGGGGGGGACUGAGGUUCGCGCAUCUGCAAGGAUGCUGGCGUAAUGGUCAUCAACGACCCGUCUUGAAACACGGACCAAGGAGUCGUCUUCGUAUGCGAGUGUUCGGGUGUCAAACCCCUACGCGUAAUGAAAGUGAACGCAGGUGAGAGCUUCGGCGCAUCAUCGACCGAUCCUGAUGUUCUCGGAUGGAUUUGAGUAAGAGCAUACGGGGCCGGACCCGAAAGAAGGUGAACUAUGCCUGUAUAGGGUGAAGCCAGAGGAAACUCUGGUGGAGGCUCGCAGCGGUUCUGACGUGCAAAUCGAUCGUCAAAUAUGGGCAUGGGGGCGAAAGACUAAUCGAACCUUCUAGUAGCUGGUUUCCGCCGAAGUUUCCCCUUCGGAAA
rnacentral:rRNA from 1 species